CGACUUGGGAAGCGGAAUUCGGGGUCUGAACCUCCGUGCCCUGAGGACUCUGCCUUCCUUCCUCUCAGUCUAAACUCUCAGCCGUAGACGUUGUAGACGUCGGGGUUCCAGCUCCAUCUUUGCACACAUAAUCCAGGAAGCCGCUAGCUCUCGAUGUCUUCUGUCAAGUUAUGGCUCAAUGGUGCGUCAUCGAUCUCUCUCGUGGGCUCUGAAGAACUGGAGAACCUAGGAUUUGUGGGCAAAGGCGGGUUCGGAGCCGUGUUCCGGGCACGCCACACAGCAUGGAACCUUGAUGUAGCAGUCAAGAUCGUGAACUCGAAGAAGAUAUCCAGGGAGGUGAAGGCUAUGGUGAAUCUUCGUCAUGAGAACGUGCUGCUCCUGCUGGGGGUCACUGAGAACCUCGAGUGGGACUACGUGUACGGGCCGGCUCUGGUGACAGGAUUCAUGGAGAACGGCUCCCUCUCAGGGCUGCUGCAACCUUCAUGCCCUCGGCCCUGGCCUCUCCUCUGUCGCCUGCUAGAGGAAGUGGUGCUGGGGAUGUGCUACCUACACAGCUUGAACCCUUCGCUACUGCACCGGGACCUCAAGCCCUCCAAUGUUCUGCUGGAUCCAGAGCUCCACGCCAAGUUAGCAGACUUUGGCCUGUCCACAUUUCAGGGAGGGUCACAGUCAGGGUCAGGGUCAGGAUCGAGA
rnacentral:lncRNA from 1 species